rnacentral:tRNA from 1 species
CGGGUCGUGGUGGACCCGGCCGGCCGCGCCUCGGUACAGGUGAGCGACCCGAAGGACCGGGGCAUCGUCGGGUUCUGUCUGCCCGACGAGCUGAC